AAAAAUUCCAAAGAUGAAGUGAAGAAUACGAGAAACAUCUUUACAACACAACAGUGAAAGAUUACAAGUAACGGCGGGGACAAGAACGUGGCGGCGUUGAUCCAGACAGCAACCGCGCUUGAAGCAGAUUUUACAGGAAGCUGUCCUCGCCCAGGUCGCUGCAGUCCAGACACAUCUCGUCCAGAAGCGUGAUGUCCUCCAGGGUUUCGCCCUCGCGCUUGGCGAACGUGGAGCUGCUGGAGCCCGUCUCGAUGGCGCUCUCCUCGGACGUCUGCGAACUGCGAGGAGACGGGGCGCACGUUUGAAUUUCGGGGACAAGCCCGACUUUCUACACGUGCGGUUGGGAGCGACUGAGUCCAUAGGCGGUGCCUUCCACAACCUUGCCGAAGGCCCCAGAACCCAGGAUGCGACCUUGGGCCAAAGUCACAAAGUCAGUUAUCAAGCAAGAACAUGCGUGCCAACGCAG